rnacentral:rRNA from 1 species
AACGAACGCUGGCGGCAUGCCUAACACAUGCAAGUCGAACGAGACCUUCGGGUCUAGUGGCGCACGGGUGCGUAACGCGUGGGAACCUGCCCUUAGGUUCGGAAUAACUCCCCGAAAGGGGUGCUAAUACCGGAUAAUGUCUUCGGACCAAAGAUUUAUCGCCUUUGGAUGGGCCCGCGUUGGAUUAGCUAGUUGGUAGGGUAAAAGCCUACCAAGGCGACGAUCCAUAGCUGGUCUGAGAGGCUGAUCAGCCACACUGGGACUGAGACACGGCCCAGACUCCUACGGGAGGCAGCAGUGGGGAAUAUUGGACAAUGGGCGAAAGCCUGAUCCAGCAAUGCCGCGUGAGUGAUGAAGGCCUUAGGGUUGUAAAGCUCUUUUAACCGGGAUGAUAAUGACAGUACCGGGAGAAUAAGCUCCGGCUAACUCCGUG